rnacentral:lncRNA from 1 species
GGCUGCGGUCCCAAUAUAAAUCGCAAAUAUUUCCUAAUGGUGAUGAAGCAUCAAAACAGAAUAAAAAAUGAUACAAUCAAUCCAAAAAAUAAGAAUUAAAAACUAGCAACUUAAAUUAAAUUAAAUCAAAUCACAAGGUUUCAUAGUUAAUGUAGCUGCGAAUAGUUUAGCUGAACAUGAUUGGAGAAUACAAAUAUAAGAAUUUGGAUGAAUUCAUAACCUGUAUAUUUUGAUAGGAAGAAGAAUAAAAUCCUUAAUGAUGAAUCUCUUCAAAAUCUUAAAAUUGUACUUUCUUCUCCGUUAAGAAAAACCCAUGAUGAGAAGUUCUUGUGAGGAAAAGGCCACAGGUAUAGGGAUGUUUCAGGACAAUUUCAGAGGAAGGGAAGUGACUUUCUUGGUUGGAUGAAUGAUGAUGGAAAAAUAGAGAUUAAAACAGACUAAUGCAGUGAUGACACUUAGCAUCUGACAAGUAAUUCUGUGAAACUUCC